rnacentral:rRNA from 1 species
CAGUAGCCGCGGUAAUACGAAGGGUGCAAGCGUUACUCGGAAUUACUGGGCGUAAAGCGUGCGUAGGUGGUGGUUUAAGUCCGUUGUGAAAGCCCUGGGCUCAACCUGGGAAUUGCAGUGGAUACUGGAUCACUAGAGUGUGGUAGAGGAUAGUGGAAUUUCCGGUGUAGCAGUGAAAUGCGUAGAGAUCAGAAGGAACAUCUGUGGCGAAGGCGACUAUCUGGGCCAACACUGACACUGAGGCACGAAAGCGUGGGGAGCAAACAGGAUUAGAUACCCGCGUAGUCCCUGUUUCUUAUAC